GUGACCGGUGCCGCCUCCAGGAGGCGGAUAAUAGGGAAGCAGGUGAGAAUCCUGCGCGAUCCCGUCACUGUGAGAGCGAACAGGGCAGCAACAAGUCACUGGGCGAUUGCCUGGGAAGGCGCUGCCUCUCCGCCGCCACCUGCAGCAGAAAGAAGUGUGUAUGCGUAUCGCAGGAAACGAUCCGCGUGCACAGGAUCCAAAGAGGAUCCGGCUGCAGGGAUACAGAGCGGUAUGCUUCAGCCAGGAGACCUGCCGGCCAUGA
rnacentral:ncRNA from 1 species